rnacentral:tRNA from 1 species
GGUGGGGUUCACCGACGCCGGUAGCUCGCUGGGCUCAUAACCCAGAGGUCGCAGGUUCAAAUCCUGUCCCCGCUACUA